UACAGAGGGUGCAAGCGUUAAUCGGAUUUACUGGGCGUAAAGCGUGAGUAGGUGGCUCGCCAAGUCGAUUGUGAAAGCCCUGGGCUCAACCUGGGAAUUGCAGUCGAUACUGGUGAACUAGAGUUCGGUAGAGGGUGACGGAAUUCCCGGUGUAGCGGUGAAAUGCGCAGAUAUCAGGAGGAACACCGGUGGCGAAGGCGGAUCUCUGGGCCAUUACUGACGCUGAGGAGCGAAAGCGUGGGGAGCGAACAGG
rnacentral:rRNA from 1 species